AGUUUGUACUGGAAACCAAAGCUCAUGAAAAAUAGCCUCCUGAUAGGAUAGUCGUGCUGAUCCUUCCUCCUUGGUGCUGCUUUUCCCUUUUCAAACUUUAGAUCACUUAUAAUAUUAUUAAUCACUGCUUCACUUCAAAUUAUGCCAUCUGAUGCAUUAAGAGGCCAAAAACACAGCUUUCUGCUGUGGAGCCAGCAGACUGUGUGUUUACCUGAGCGUCCACGCGGUAACAUGUUGGUAACAUUACUUUUCAGCUGAUGAUCAGAGCUUUCAUAUGUAGGAGGGCGAAAUAACGUUCAUAUCGCUGGAAUGAAUGGAAUGAGUUUGUUGUGAUGGGAAGAGAUUUACUCAUCGUUUGUGACUCAGUCCUCGAAGCAAAGGGGCGUGUGUGUGUGUGUGUGUGUGUGUGUGAAGCCUUUUAAGGCUAUUGAUGUUCUUGUCAUUACUCUGAGCUUCACUGAGACAUAUCACUGUUGCUGGGUUUGCUGUAUAAAAAUAAAUCGUUAGCCGAUUAAAGUCGAGACUUUCCUCUUGGUAGAGAGAAAAUGGAUGAUUCUGCUUCUGCCCAUCCUCUGGGAUACACACCAUUUCAUCAGCAGGUGUGUGUGAGGUGAGUAAACAGGAGUCACUCACAUGACCAGCGUUCAGCACCUGGGGAACGUGUGAGCCUGGCUGUGUUGUUGUGUAACCAUAGACAGACUGAACGUCUUUCGCGCAGGCUGAGUCUUGUCCCUCCAAGCAGACGGUAAUCGGUUUAGCAGUGAUUACAUUUUGAUGCCAUAUGUCGUCUGGAUUUCUGGCAGAAAAAAAAUUUCAGAGAUUAAUUUGCAAGAAAAUCACAUUACAAAAAGGUUUGGUCCUGUUUGGCACUCUACACCCGGGCGCUCGCUGUGUGAGAAAACUGCCUGCAGACAACAAUGGCAUUUUUAUCAUCGCUGCCAAUCGACAUGCUUCAGCAGUCGUGACGAGGCCUGAUGCGGGCCUGACGCAGUCGUGGGUGGUGAAGACUGGACCGAAACAACUGGUUUGAAAAUGUGCUUUUAACAGUGUGCAGCUUGUUCAUGCUGAACAUUUGCACUGGUAAAACUAAAUAAAU
rnacentral:lncRNA from 1 species